rnacentral:tRNA from 1 species
GGGCGGUUAGCUCAGCUGGUAGAGCAUAUCGUUUACACCGAUAGGGUCGGCGGUUCGAGCCCGUCACCGCCCACCA